AGUGAACGCUGGCGGUAGGCCUAACACAUGCAAGUCGAACGGCAGCACAGUAAGAGCUUGCUCUUACGGGUGGCGAGUGGCGGACGGGUGAGGAAUACAUCGGAAUCUACUUUUUCGUGGGGGAUAACGUAGGGAAACUUACGCUAAUACCGCAUACGACCUACGGGUGAAAGCAGGGGAUCUUCGGAUCUUGCGCGAUUGAAUGAGCCGAUGUCGGAUUAGCUAGUUGGCGGGGUAAAGGCCCACCAAGGCGACGAUCCGUAGCUGGUCUGAGAGGAUGAUCAGCCACACUGGAACUGAGACACGGUCCAGACUCCUACGGGAGGCAGCAGUGGGGAAUAUUGGACAAUGGGCGCAAGCCUGAUCCAGCCAUACCGCGUGGGUGAAGAAGGCCUUCGGGUUGUAAAGCCCUUUUGUUGGGAAAGAAAAGCGGCAGGUUAAUACCCCGCUGUUCUGACGGUACCCAAAGAAUAAGCACCGGCUAACUUCGUG
rnacentral:rRNA from 1 species